UCCGUGUCUGAAAGUCUCACUAUGGAACAUACUCUGGAAUCUUCCAACUAACCUGGUUGUUAUCAACACAGCCUUAUCUAGGAUUUUGUCUUAGCCAGUGAACCAGAUCAAUACAAUAAUGCUCAUGUGCUUACCCUUCUCUCCUCAAAACUCUACCUAUUUCUGUCCCAGAACUUCUCCAUUUUCUCUCUAGACAAUUUAAAAUUCUCUUUACUAUGUGCAGAGCUCCCUCAUUUCAUAUUACAGUAAAAUUUUGUGAGUUCAAUCCAAAACUUAAAUGUAACUUGCAUUUGAUUUGAAAAGAGGUUUUUUCCUCUUGUUUGUUUUUUAAUUCAGGGAUUCCUUUCACUCUUGACAAUGGCUGAUUUUCAGUAAAAGCCCAGUUUGUUCUCAAUGACUCUUGGUUUUUCUUUCCUCCCGGAAUGGAUGCUAUGGGUGAAGAACCAUAUGACAACAAGAUUCCUGGCAUUUAAAGAUAUACCUGACAAUACUGAUAAAAUAUUCUCCUUUUAUAGUUCCUUCCCAAGUAUUUUUCAUUAUUGGACAUUGGUUAACAUCCUUAGGGACACUAAUGUUCUGUGGGAAACAGGAAAUACUGAUGCUCCUAGAGUUUGAGAGCUUUGAUUGUGACAUCAGUGGUGAGAGAAGGUGGGUGGGAUCCCUAUGGCUGGUGUGCUUCAUACAUUGUAAAGUUACAAAGUCAAUUCAGAAUCUUAAAUGUUUUUUAAAAAAUUAUUUUUCUUUUUUCUUUUUUUUUUUUUUUGUCUUUUCUCCUCCACUCAAGUCAUAUGGAAGUUCCCAGACUAGGAGUCGAAUCAGAGCUGUAGCUGCUGGCCUACACCAUAGCCACAGCAGUGCAGGAUCCUUAACCUACUGAGCAAGGCCAGGGAUCGAACCUGCCUCCUCAUGGAUACUAGUUCGGUUUGUUACCACAGAGCCACGAUGGUUUCUUGAUUCCUUCCAAAAAAGGCAGCUUAUUAGCAAGACUUUGGCUGGCUUUCCCAGACUUAACAAUAAUAAAACAAGUAAUUAUUUUUAUGCUGUGUUGUGUUACCUCAGCCAUUAGGCUAGUAAUAGUAAAAGCUGUUGUUCAGCUCUUUAAGACAUGACACGCAAUUUCUCUGAAAGGGACAUAGUCUUGAUUUCAUUGAGGAACCAAACUUACUGCACCUUCUCUAAUUAGUAUUUGUUUCUUAAUGGUAAGAUAUGUUCCUGUCUUCCUCCAGGUCUCUUUUCCACCCCAACUGCCCAGUUUCUCUUAGUGAUAAUGAUUUCACUACCUACUUAACAGGGAAAACUGAGUUGAUCAAACAUUAGCUUACCUUAAACACCUACCCUGACAAGUCUAUUCUCCAAAUUCACUCCUUUAGUCUGUACCAGCACCUCAAGGAGGGCAUACCAUUCCAGAAUGCCAUUCUCACUACCUAACAAGUUUGGCCCAAAGGAACAUGCAAAUGUGACAUAAGUGGAUUGACCUUCGUAUAUUUUUUUCAUAUGUAGACAAAACCUAGUAAUAUGUAGCCCACUGUAUGGCAGUUUUGCACCCAAGUCCUCAGAUACCCAGACUCAUCUAGCUUACCACUCAGCUUUUUCUAAAAAAAAAAAAUUGACACUUUCGUUGUUGUUGUUUUUGGCAGUUUUUUCACUUGCAAAAAGAAGGAAGACAUGAAUUAAGUGGGAGUCCAGGGCAUGUCUCAAACUGUACCUCAAGGAAAGUUCCCAGAAACUGCCACAUGACUUUCUCUUACUGUUUCAUUGGCCAGAAUUUAAUCACAUGGCCACACCAAGCCAGGUGGAGACAUAUCCAGGUAAAACUCUCUUUUAUGGAAGAGGGGAUAAUUGAUUUGGGGGAGAUAUCCAGCAGCUUCUGCUGCAGCUAAGACAUGAGUUUUCUUUUGUGUUUUAUAAUCUGCUCUAAAACUAGCUCUAAAAAUCUUUCUGAUAAAGGCAGGCUCCCUAGGGCAGGUUUCUGGUCAACAUGAUUUGAAAAGUAAUUACUUAUUUGGGUAUGAGUUUUAUUUUACUGUCCUUAAAAGCUAUGUUAUUAUUAUUAAAGUUACAUUAAUAUAAAUAUCUUAAUUACCUUCUUUCCUAAACUACCUGUUUUAUCACUAGUCAUGUGGCAUUAUACUGUAUUUUGAUGAAAGAAAAAUUCUAAAACCAAACAUGCAAGCUUUUCACAGAAUAAUGGUAAAAGCUCUCCAGUGAAAAAUGGGCUUUUGAAAUAUUUAGGUCUGAAAUAAUACUCUUGGAGUGUGUCUGAGUCAGAGCAAGGAGUGACUGAGCCUCAGGAGGGCUAGGACAUGGCUGUUCCGGUUGGUGGCUGAUGCUGUUCUCCCUCAAGCUUUGCUAGGAAGCUCUCCUACAAGCAGCACCAUCCACCUGUCCACGCAGUCUGCAACCGAGCUCAAAAACAUAAAAUGAGACUGAUUUCUAAACAUUUCAUUGCUUUGAAACUGCUAACAAUAAGACAAAGUUUGCUCAAGGCAAAAACUCAGGUCUUUAUCUGCUGCUGCUAUUUGGGUCCAUAGUAGAAGAGAAUGAAUGGAUCCUUAUUCACUUAACAAAAUUUUACUGAGGGUCCAUGAUAUGCCAAACUGUCCUGAAAUUUGGAAAACAGCAGUGACGAAGUGUGCAGCCAUUUGCCAUUUUGAUUACUCACCCAUUCCCUGGCCUUCACCUACUCUGUUGCAAACAGCAUUUCUCAGGUUCCUUUGCCAACUUGCUCCUGGUUAGGUUUCAAUAAAGAGAGGAAACCAAUGGUGGGAGGAGUGGAAAAGCUUGAGUAUUUCUCAUCCCUCCCUCCCACCCUCAUCCCUGGACUUUAGGCGGAAUCUCCAACAAUGGCUGUGUCUCCUCAGAGGUUUGAGCUCUACUAGAAACCCUGACCCCAUGGUCCCAGUUCCCACAGGCAUUCCCACUCUGGUUUCACUUCUCACCAGGUGGCCCAAGCUUCUGGCCUCUGGUGACACCACUUUUUCUCUCCACACUUACAGAUAGGAGUUUCUUGCUGAUUGCCUCCUGUUUACUUUUUGAUGUUAUCUUUUAACACCUUUGUUACUAGUUCCCAUUAUUAACUGUUGCAUGGAGCCUCUGGCGAUACUCAAUAGGAAAAUCACAUGUAGACUCUGAGGGUUUUACAGCUCUCUUCUGUUGCUAACUAUUCUUACUCUGAGAUAUAGCCCCAGGUAUACACAAGUUGUUUAAUCCUUGAAAACCAAAUGACCAUGUGUUUUGAUCUGUCAUUUGUGAACUGGAUGCUCUCUGAUCUACCAAGCCACAAACUUGCCCAUGUGCAACAAAACUACCUCACCAAGUGGCAAUGGUAAGCAUGAGAUCAGUCUCUAGAAAUUCGAGAAGACGCAAGUAUAGUGUAGGAGCAAGUAACUCAGAUCUCCAGGGCAUCUGCUUCUGCAGCUGUUCCUUCCUUACUUCAAGAUAGACCUAACAGAGCAUUUCCUAUGACUAGUUGAUGGAAGAAGAAAGAAAAACUUGGACCUGGUGAACAGGUAAGUCUGCAUGAUAGGUUGACAACAGAUGGAGAUGGACUGUUUUUGCUUUACCACUCCACUUGGAAGUGAUGAAGGGAAUCUUCUGAGUGGGUAGAACCUCUGGCAAUAUAUCUGGUUACCUGUUUUACAAGGAAUUAGAUAUGGUCAUACAUAUGUUUCUGCACUGAUUCAUGAUAAUGCCAUGGUGUUGGCUGGUUGGUCAGGGAGUGGGCAUGAAUCAGACUAGAAGACUGCUGACAAGGAAGAUCUGGAGAAGAGGAAUUUAUAGCUUCAUGGAAAGGGCAUAGAGUGUGAAUAUACUCACCUCAUGAAAAUGGUCCCCAUAGGGCACCCACAGAAGUGGAACCUCUCAAUAACCAGGAGAACAAGGUACCUCAUUCUGUGGACACCACUUGGCUUCUUCUCAAACUACCUCAAACUUUGCUCAAUGGUCUCAUGUACAAAGUGGCCAUAGCAGCAGUAAUAUAGGUCAUUCAUAGGCUCAAUUAAAUGGAUUUCCCUUCACCAAGGCGGAUCUAGCUCUGUCACUGCUGAGUGCCCAAGCUGUAGCUGUAGGGUCAGUGGUGUGCAAUACAAUAUACGUCAGAUUCCUUACACUGAACUCCUUCCAAAUGAAGGAGGUCCGUUCUGGAAUUAAUUUGCCUUCCCUGUUCCCAGAGUUUCUGGGGGUAUAUUCAUAGUCACCAUCAAUGGUAUCCCAUUUAAUCAUGUCCUGCCCAAGGAAUUCAUUUCAUAGUGAGAGAAGUUGACCUCAGGCUCAGCAUAGAUUUCAGUGUCUUACUAUAUAACCCCACUGCCUGAAUGAUAAGUCAUGUGCUUUGAACAGUAAUAGAAGCUACAAUGUUCUUUUGGCCUGAGCCAAAAUACAUGCCUCUUGGAAUUAAGGGUGAAAAAGGGGGCACUUCUCAGUAUUAUAUUUAAUAGUCCACUUACAAGAUUUUUUUUCUUCUUGUAUCAGCAGCUGUGGUUCAGAGGUCUUAAUUCUCAAAGGAGGGAUGCUUCUAUCAGAAGGAACUGUAAUGGUUUUGUUGAACUGGGAGUUGAAAAUUCUGCCUGGAUACAAUAUUUUUGAGCUGCUCAUGGCGCUGAACCAUCAGGCAGAAAAGAGUUUCCAGAUUUCUUAUCUAUACCCCCCAUCCUUACUUAUAUAAUUGUGAUCCCUUCUUUAGGUCUUUAGUUGUGGAGAAUCUUUUCUGUUAGGCUUCAGGGCAUUCUCACAGCUAUUAGCUCCAUAUGUCAUUAUAAUUUUGCUGUGCUCAUGGGAGGAGGGGAGCUCAGGGUCUUCCUACUCUGCCAUCCUGGCCACCUCUCCCUCCCACACACUGUUUAGAGGGCAGUAUUCAUGAGAAGAUUUCUAUUGCAUUAGAGAAGGGGAAGUAUUAAGGUUAUUUGGAAGAAAUAGAGUUGAGAGGAUUUCAGGAGACAGGUAUAAUUCAAUGAGACUUUAUGUAGAAAGGCAAAAUAAGGAGGAGGACAUGGAAGAAUAUUUACAUUCUUGGAAUUACAAGUACAAGGGAAGCCAAGAGCCCAGUUGAACCAGAUCAAGCAGAAUUUCCAGCUGAGACUGAACUAGAGAGCACCGUUCCUGCUUACCUUGAUAUCAGCCCUACCUUCUGCUAAUGACACUCAAAUGAGAAACAUCUUGCAAAAAUAGCCAGAGGAGACAGAGUUGUUUAUGAUCUGAUGUACCUCCUCUUGGGAGAAGUCUGAGGGGGAAUUUGGGAAGGAUUGUGUUGCAGACAAUGGGUGAGAUGAUAUCUAUUUGCCAUGACGUAUUUCCUGCUAAAUUUUAUCCCAGUCAGUGUAAAGAAUAAGCUCUGACUAUUGUGGUUAGCACUUGCUGGAUGUCUAUUGUUUUCUAGGAACUGUACCAGGAACUUUAUAUAAGUCAUUUAAUUACAUUUUCCAAUCUGCAUAUGAAUUAGAUGUUAUGAUGAUGAUUUUAUAGAUGAAGAAAAUGAGACUGAAAGCAAUUAAUAAAUUGCCCAAGGUCAGAAUGCAAGUAAGUACCAGACAUAAAACCUACGUCAACUAAUUCCCAAGUUUCUUCUCUUUCAAUUAUAUUACAAAGUUGAUCACAAAAAGAAUUAGUCUAUUUGUUUAGAAUGUUUCACCACCUCUUAGAUGUAUCUGUCAGAUAGAACAAAUGAGUAGGAAUAUGUAGUUUAGAAAGACUUUAAGGAAAAAAGAUUAAAUUAAAAUGUUUGACACAUGACCAAUGAUCAGAAUAUUUUUGUGUUUAAAAAAAAUGCACGUGAGAAUAAAAUGGAUGCUGACAGAAUUUCAUCAUAUAAAAAAUGCUCAUGUUCUUCCUGCACAAUCUUGGAAACAGCUACUGAUAAUGAAGGAAUGUAUUUGCCUACAAAAACCUGGGGUGGUAACCCAUUUCACAACCAUUUCUGAGGUGAAUAUUCAUUUUAUCCUAGAUCUCUGGCCGUGAGUAAUUGAUACAGGGAUAAAGAUAUCUAACCUCAAAAUACCGUCUUCCACAAGCAUUCAAAACAUGUGAGGGAUGAUGCAUAAAUCAAGGCUAGUAAAGCUGAGUUGUACAGAUGACAACCCUCUAGAGAGAAAAAAAACUGUCUUAUCUACUGUGCUCAAUAGCAAAGGUUAAUAGAAGCUCCUGCAGCAUCAUGCAAGCUGAAACAUUAAGGGCCUAGACCAUUCAGGCAUAAAAUACUGGACAACUUUCUAGGCAAAGAAUCCUGAUUAGCUGAGUUCCCAGAUAAAGGCAAGAGUCAACAGGAGUCAAGAGUCUGCAAAGCAGUCAGAAAUAUCAGCUAGAAUGUCAUGACCCAUUUUAGCAACAAAGGGAAAAGGCUCUACUUGCAUUUCUUUGUUUAUAAUAUGUCUAUGUCUACAUAAACCUUUAAUAUAAAAUAACCUUGAGCUUUCCUUCCCUUAUUUGCAGAAUAUAAAAGUAGAAUUACUACAAAUCAUACCAAACUGAUAUCAUUCAGAGAACCUGGAAUCAGUUUCUGGAAUCUUACGACAUUAUCCCUUGCUCAGUAGCUGGAGAUAAAUUUGGGUUGUUUCCCACCGGAGAAGAUUGUGAGAGUAUUAGUUGCUAUAUACGGAAUAAUCACUUCUAGUUUUAUGGAGGAGUCUAUGGAUAUGUGGGAAAAGGAUUUGUGCGUUGGGUGUAUAGAUGUGUGUACGCAGGCGCGUGCACACGCACCUCCCACCGCUCCCCACAACACACACACACCAGGCAGCCAAGGGACAGAAUGUUGGAGACACAAACUGGGAUGGUUGCCCAGCUUCUAAUGACUUCCCAAUGCCAUGCCUACAAAAUAUAGUCCGUCCCCUGGGCAUGGCUAUUUGUUCCAAGAAUAGAGAUACCUGAUUCAAGUUGGGGUCAAUUAGAUUUGCUUUCCUAGCAAUUUGAAACAAUUUGUCCUGAAUUGAGACACAUGGAAAUAAAAAGUGGUUAGAGUUGCAUAAACCUCAAUGCUGUGAAAAGCUUGUCUUCAAUCCCUGGAGGGGAUUGGAACUUUUUGUUUCAGUCUGCACAAAACUGAAUCAUUCAGUCUUUCCUUUAUUCUAUGAUCAUUCCCAAAUCUUUGGACUACAUCCUUUGCU
rnacentral:lncRNA from 1 species